UCCGGUUUGUCACCGGCAGUCUCACUAGAGUGCCCUUUCGUAGCAACUAGUGACAAGGGUUGCGCUCGUUGCGGGACUUAACCCAACAUCUCACGACACGAGCUGACGACAGCCAUGCAGCACCUGUGUCUCGGCUCCCUUUCGGGCACUCUCGCAUCUCUGCGAGAUUCCGAGCAUGUCAAGUGUAGGUAAGGUUUUUCGCGUUGCAUCGAAUUAAUCCACAUCAUCCACCGCUUGUGCGGGUCCCCGUCAAUUCCUUUGAGUUUUAAUCUUGCGACCGUACUCCCCAGGCGGUCGACUUCACGCGUUAGCUGCGUUACCGAGCCUGUAAAGGCCCGACAACUAGUCGACAUCGUUUAGGGCGUGGACUAC
rnacentral:misc_RNA from 1 species